rnacentral:sRNA from 1 species
GGAAGGAAGGAAAGUUGGUUCUUGUUUACAACUAAUUGUUCACAACCAGGUAUAGUUUCCUUUGUCCCUUCUCCAUUCCUACUGCUUUAUUUGACUAGUUUUAA